GCACCUGGCCCUCUUGCACAUAUUCCUAUUUUGAAGCAUUAUAGUGCUUUGAGAUGAUUUGUUUAUCAUUGUUUACCAUCUUUGUGUUCCUAAUGUAAUACCACUGACUCUGCCUUUCAUCUCUUUCCCCAGUGCCUAGUAUAGUUUGUUAAGAAAGAGUAAGGGAAUGACUGAAAGCCUGAUCUGGACAGGCCAAGGCCCCCCUGAGGGCUGCAGUUUUAUCUGCCUCACAGGAGACACCUAGUUCACACAGACCUUCAGGAGGAGCCACUUCAGAGUGCGAGGGGACCCAAGUUUACACAGGCUUUGCUAAUGCUGCAGAUGCUUACAACCCUGUUUUCAGAAGUUGCUGUCAGUGUCGGAAGUUCUCCCUGCUAUCUGCCCUCAAGGCUUCCCACUGUACUGCCCUGGUCCUGGGCUCACCUGAGAUUGCUGGGAAAAGAAAGGGUCAACCAGGAGGUUUAGACAUGUGGAGAAGGAGUGUGCCUGGCUCUACCAGUUGGAACUGGGAUCAGAGGUGGAGCUGAGGAGGCUGGUCCAGGGAGAAUGCUACACUAAGAGCUACUGCCUUCUGGAUCCAUGGCCUCUCCAGAACUAGAGACCGUGAUGGUCGGCCUGAGCUGAGAGCAGCACCUGCACACGAGACCCA